AUACGUAGGGUGCAAGCGUUAAUCGGAAUUACUGGGCGUAAAGCGUGCGCAGGCGGUUUUGUAAGACAGUGGUGAAAUCCCCGGGCUCAACCUGGGGACUGCCAUUGUGACUGCAAGGCUGGAGUGCGGCAGAGGGGGGUGGAAAUUCGCGGGUAGCAGGGAAAUGCGUAGAUAUGCGGAGGAACACCGAUGGCGAAGGCAAUCCCCUGGGCCUGCACUGACGCUCAUGCACGAAAGCGUGGGGAGCAAACAGGAUUAGAUACCCUGGUAGUCCACGCCCUAAACGAUGUCAACUGGUUGUUGGGGAUUUAUUUUCUCAGUAACGAAGCUAACGCGUGAAGUUGACCGCCUGGGGAGUACGGCCGCAAGGUUAAAACUCAAAUGAAUUGACGGGG
rnacentral:rRNA from 1 species